UUUUGGGGAUUUUGGGGUGGGUGAAGGUAAAACCUGAGCUGCCUGUUUGGCCAUUUCCCCUAGGAUCAGCUUCCCUGAGUUCAUCAGGAGAGUGCCAGACCCCUCUGGAUUUCUUCUCAUGAUUUAAAGCCUCUCCUGGAUGUGUCCUUAACCACAACACCCUGUUUGCAAACCAAUGCACAGAAAAGCAUCUUCCCUGCUUCCCAUCACCUCUGGGCAAGCCCUGCAGACAGUGCUGGGUCCUCUUCCUGAUUUACACCACUGGAGGCCAUUGAUAAUGCCCGUGGAGAGGCUCCCGACUCCUCCUGCUGCCUCAGACAUCUGACUGCCACUUCCCCUGCUCUCCCAGACAACUGGCAGUCCAUUUGUUUUCAGCCUCCCUGGAACAGGUCUGCCCUUUUAUUUCCUAGCUCUCUUCUGCCCUGCCAGCAGCCCUGAAGCUCCCUUGUCAAAGCAAGAGAGGAGAAGAGUUAUGUUCCACACACUGAGAUGCGGCUGGCACUGGUGUGAGAUGGGAAGCAGGCCUGGAUUUGGCCAUGUGGCCCAGAUGUUUUGGGUUUGAUUUAUUUGUUUGCUACUUUUUCUGAUGCCUGCUGCUCUGCUCUGGAGGAUCUCAGCUUUUGUUAGAAGCAAAUUAAUAAGAAAAGAAAAAAAAAAAACAGCGGGGAAAGAAAGAAGAACAGAAAGUGUUGGAGGAAGCAGUGACAUUUGGAAAUGUACAUGAGGCAAUGUGGUGAUGUUUACUUCAGUCUGCUGAAAACUUGAGACAACAGCUUGGAGGAAGAUGGAGGAUCUCCCUCUUGGCUGUCAUCCCUUUCCUCUGCUGCAUCCCCUGGUGGGCUCAGAGCAUGCCGAGCCCACUCCCUUUGCUCUUUCCCCUGCAGCCACUAAGUGGAUGCUGGAUGACAUUUGGAUAACAACCAAACCUGAGGAUUUCACUCAGUUCUGGGAGCUGUGCUGCAGAGGCUUGAAAUUUUUGGAGGAGCAGCCAGACUGGAGGAGCUUUGCAAAUCCUGCACACUCCUGGGCUGAGCAUCCACCCACUGAACACUGAGGUGGUGCCUCAGUUUUGCAUCGCAGUGAGGUGGAGUUGGAGAAAGCAUCAUCGACUCAAACCUUGCAUAGAAACAGCUCCCUGCCUGCUGUUCAACCUCUAUAAUGAACACAGGCAUAGAUCAGAGUGAGGUACAAGCUGAAAAAUUCAGAUCCCAGUCCAAAAUAUGAAUGUGCCAGCACCUGGGUGUGUAGUUCUGGAGCUGGAGUCUGACUCACUUGCAAAUAGGGACCCUUUGCAAAACAUGGAUCAAGGUUCGAAUUUCUGACCCUCCUCCAAAAUUUAAGAUUGAAGAAAUUCUGAGAACUCAAUGUUUUGAUUCUAGGCCAUCUAAGAGGGGUGAAAUAUGUGCUUAAGUGCUUUGUUGAAUAGAAAGAGACUGGAGCAUGUGCUUAAUGUUAUUAAGUGCUUAACUGUUUUUGUUGAAUCAGGGCCCCCCUGCUUUUAAAGUCAAUUCUAAACCCUUAGGCUGCAUCUGAAAGGAUUUGGAAAAGAAGUGGCAUCCAGAUACUGCUGGAUGUUUGACUGCUGAACUCUGCAUUCCUGCUUUGAAGGCUGGUUCCUCUGAAUCUGCUCUCGUUGCUGUUCCAAACCUUCUCCAGGCUUGGCCCUGCUCAUCAGGUGACUGAGAAGAGAGCACAGAGGGUUAUGGACAUUUAACACAGGCCCUGGCACAACUCCUGGAGAAGUUUGGAUGUCCUGCAGUUUCCAUCAGUGAUCCCAAGGCAGUGUGGUAACACCAGGAUCGCUGCCUGAGGGGAUUGCUUGUCUCCAGGACCCUCUUCAAUCCCAGCAGGGACUGUCAGGAUUCAGUUUAACUUCCUCUGUAGCUCAGACCAAGAAACUCACAUAGGAUUCCUUCCUCAAACAUCUGCUUGCUGUGUGAGCUGUGUCUGUUUUUAAGGCAUCUGCCUGAAGAUAAAGGCUUAAAUUUAUAAACCAAAAUGUUUGAAUUAAAAAAAAAA